rnacentral:lncRNA from 1 species
UCUGCCAUUGAUAAGCUCCGAUAUGUUUCCUUUGUUACUGAUAUGCUCCAAUUACUCUGUGCUCCAUUUGUUAUGAACUGAUAUGUUCUGAAAUGUCCUAUCUGCCAUUGAUAUGUUCCAAUUACUCUAUACUCCAUUCGUUACGGAUCAAAUAUGUUUUGAAUGACAUGAUACGUAUGAUUUGGUAUCUAUUGAGAUGGUAUCCUUGAGAAUUCUUGUAUUCUGCCUUGCAUUAUGAUUCCUUACUCGUUUGAAACCGUUCCUUUUGUUCUGAAUAUGCUUUGUCACUUGCUGAGCCGUUUUUAGCUCACUCCGUUGUUAUAUAAAUCUUUCAGGUCAGCUUGUCACUCUUCGAGAUGUUGAUUUGGGCUGAGGCAGUGGAUAGCUAUUCAGAAUUAUGGGCAAGUCUAGGUGGUUAUUAUGAUAUUGUUGUAUAAGUAUGUUUUGUAUGUAAUGAAAUGUUGUCGAUGAACCGAAAUGGAUAUACUGUGUAAAAGUGUUAGAAGAUCUCUCUUAUUUGGAAUUUCGGAAUGUUAAGUCUAAUUUAAGAUGAUAUGAACUUGUGGUGAAUAGUUGGAGUUCUGAUUGUAUAAUUUAUUUAGCUUGUGGAUUUAUAAAUGUUGUUCAUGUUUGUCAAGUUGGCUUGGGUUGUCAUAAAUGUGAAUUAUCGAGUGAUGUGAUAUAUAAUUUUAAAAUGCAUAGGUUUUAUGGAUGUGAAUUUGAUUGAAUGUUUUUCAGUGUCCUCAAACGUUAGUUUGGAUCCUGGAUUGGUUUGUGAUGAUGAAAAAUUUUAAAAAUCAUGGAUAUAUUUGAGGGGCGUGACA